UGGGGGAUAUUGCACAAUGGGCGAAAGCCUGAUGCAGCGACGCCGCGUGGGGGAUGAAGGCCUUCGGGUUGUAAACUUCUUUUGCUCUGAACAAGGCAUGCCUUUGGGGUGUGUUGAGUGUAGGGGUUGAUUAGCGCCGGCUAACUACGUGCCAGCAGCCGCGGUAAUACGUAGGGCGCGAGCGUUGUCCGGAAUUAUUGGGCGUAAAGGGCUUGUAGGUGGCUGGUUGCGUCUGUCGUGAAAGCUCAUGGCUUAACUGUGGGUUUGCGGUGGGUACGGGCUGGCUUGAGUGCAGUAGGGGAGGCUGGAAUUCCUGGUGUAGCGGUGGAAUGCGCAGAUAUCAGGAGGAAUACCGGUUGCGAAGGCGGGUCUCUGGGCUGUUACUGACGCUGAGGAGCGAAAGCGUGGGGAGCGAACAGG
rnacentral:rRNA from 1 species